rnacentral:rRNA from 1 species
GGAGGGUGCAAGCGUUGUCCGGAUUUAUUGGGUUUAAAGGGUACGUAGGCGGGCUGUUAAGUCUGAGGUGAAAGCUCUCGGCUCAACCGGGAAAUUGCCUUGGAUACUGGCAGUCUUGAGUACAGUAGAGGUGGGCGGAAUUCAUGGUGUAGCGGUGAAAUGCAUAGAUACCAUGAGGAACACCGAUAGGGAAGCCAGCUCACUGGGCUGUGACUGACGCUGAGGUACGAAAGCGUGGGGAGCGAACAGGAUUAGAUACCCUGGUAGUCCACGCUGUAAACGAUGCUCACUGGAUGUAUGCGAUAGAGUGUAUGCGUCUGAGCGAAAGCGAUAAGUGAGCCACCUGGGGAGUACGUUGGCAACAAUG